UCCAGCUUAUUAAAUCUAUUUAUUGUAUUAGAAAAUCUGAUUUUUCAGGAUUACCAAAGAAAUAUUUGAAUUUUCAGCUGAAUCCAGAGCGCAUUGACACAUCAUUCAGGAGGUGCUGUUCGACUCUGACCUUUGACCUUUAACUACAAACUAUGGCUGUUUCAUGUUUAAGGAUUAAAUCAGCGCUCAGACUUUCAGUCCACUAUAAGUUUAAACUCAGCUGGAACAAAUGUGAUCCAAAAGAACCUGGUUAAUAAGAACCGAGCAGCGCGGGGCUCUGACACAAACACGGUCCGUUCAGGACGAACCCAAACCAGCAACUCCAAACGGACUUCAUCACCCACCGAUCCAGAAGCACCGGAACCCCGCAGCUCUGCCSCCGAAACCCGCAAGUAAAACUCUCGGUGGGACUAAAGAUGUGGGUUUCCUGUGCAACAACAGCGAGGCGCGAGCUUUUUGGUUCACGCCGCUCCGCAGAACAACACGGUCGGACCCCGCUGCUGUACGCAUGCUCCAAACAUCGCUCGCUGCCUCUCACCAUCAGCGCGGCGGAGAGGACAACCAUCUGCCGUUAAUUCGCGGGAUAAACGCCCGUCCGGUGGACGCUCACCCCCCGCUGCGUCCUCCUCCGCCACGGACGGUCUGUAAAAAGCCCGCCACUCACCUCGUUCCGCAGCGGGUCCAGUUUGUAAACGGACUGAAGCUGGUUUCGUAGCCGCAUCGCUAUAGCCAUCGGACCUUGCUCCGCCAUCUUUGGGAAUUAUGCUCAUAUAUCCGGGUAAACCGGAAGUGGCAUUCUCUGCGAGAACAUGCGACUGCCAAGAUCACCAACACACCGGGCCACCACCCCGCGCUGCCGGAGGAAGCGGUUUAUCUGCGGGGACCAUCUCGAUGACGCUCAUCGUUCACUCUCACUGACAUAAGAGCAGCGUUUUGUUAACACAGCACAAUUAUCACACGCAUUCAGGAAAAAGAAACCCUCAAGAUUAAAAAGAAGGAGGCUGCUUCUCAUUUAGACAUUAGAGGCAGAUUUUAAGAAUACAAACUCCAUCGUUUCUCUGUUUCCACUAGUUUAUUUUUUAGGUUUGAAUGAAAUGAUGGUUAAUAAAGGACAAGAAAUGUACAUUAAUCUGAUAUAGUUUGGAAGUUCCAUCAACUUUU